CACGUAGGGUGCGAGCGUUGUCCGGAAUUAUUGGGCGUAAAGAGCUCGUAGGCGGUGUGUCGCGUCGGCCGUGAAAACCUGCAGCUUAACUGUGGGCGUGCGGUCGAUACGGGCAUCACUGGAGUUCGGCAGGGGAGACUGGAAUUCCUGGUGUAGCGGUGAAAUGCGCAGAUAUCAGGAGGAACACCGGUGGCGAAGGCGGGGUCUCUGGGGCCGAUACUGACGCUGAGGGAGCGAAAAGCGUGGGGGGAGCAAAACAGG
rnacentral:rRNA from 1 species